AUUGAACGCUGGCGGCAGGCCUAACACAUGCAAGUCGAGCGAGCGGCGGACGGGUGAGUAAUGUAUGGGGACUGCCUGAUGGAGGGGGAUAACUACUGGAAACGGUUGCUAAUACCGCAUACUAUCAGAUAACCCAUAUGGGAUGAGCUUGUAGGUGGGGUAAAGGCUCACCAAGGCGACGAUCUCUAGCUGGUCUGAGAGGAUGAUCAGCCACACUGGGACUGAGACACGGCCCAGACUCCUACGGAGGCAGCAGUGGGGAAGAUUGCACAAGGGGCGCAAGCCUGAUGCAGCCAUGCCGCGUGUAUGAAGAAGGCCUUAGGGUUGUAAAGUACUUUCAGUCGGGAGGCGUUACCCACAGAAGAAGCACCGGCUAACUCCGUGCCAGCAGCCGCGGUAAUUC
rnacentral:rRNA from 1 species